rnacentral:rRNA from 1 species
GACCUAUCAGCUUUCGACGGUAGUGUAUUGGACUACCGUGGCAGUGACGGGUAACGGGGAAUUAGGGUUCGAUUCCGGAGAGGGAGCCUGGGAAACGGCUACCACAUCUAAGGAAGGCAGCAGGCGCGCAAAUUACCCAAUCCUGACUCAGGGAGGUAGUGACAAGAAAUAACAACACUGGAAAUUUUAUUUCUAGUGAUUGGAAUGAUGGGAAUUUAAACCCCUUUCAGAGUAACAAUUGGAGGGCAAGUCUGGUGCCAGCAGCCGCGGUAAUUCCAGCUCCAAUAGCGUAUAUUAAAGUUGUUGCAGUUAAAAAGCUCGUAGUUGGAUGUCUGCUGGAAGCAAUCAGUCCGCCCUAUUUGUAGGGUGUGCACUUGAUGAAUUCUGGCAUCUUUGUCCCAAUGAUGUAGCGGGGCGGUGGUAUUCGGUGAAAGCCGAGUAUCCUGUUCCGAUUAUUGGGAUACUGUUACUUUGAGAAAAUUAGAGUGUUUGAAGCAGGCUAAUUGCCUUGAAUACUGCAGC